UGGGGAAUAUUGCACAAUGGGCGCAAGCCUGAUGCAGCAACGCCGCGUGGAGGAAGACGGUUUUCGGAUUGUAAACUCCUGUUCUUAGUGAAGAAAAAUGACGGUAGCUAAGGAGCAAGCCACGGCUAACUACGUGCCAGCAGCCGCGGUAAAACGUAGGGUGCAAGCGUUGUCCGGAAUUACUGGGUGUAAAGGGAGCGCAGGCGGGCAUGCAAGUUGGAAGUGAAAACUAUGGGCUCAACCCAUAGCCUGCUUUCAAAACUGCGUGUCUUGAGUAGUGCAGAGGUAGGCGGAAUUCCCGGUGUAGCGGUGGAAUGCGUAGAUAUCGGGAGGAACACCAGUGGCGAAGGCGGCCUACUGGGCACCAACUGACGCUGAGGCUCGAAAGUGUGGGUAGCAAACAGGAUUAGAUACCCUGGUAGU
rnacentral:rRNA from 1 species